UACGAAGGGGGCUAGCGUUGUUCGGAUUUACUGGGCGUAAAGCGCGUGUAGGUGGCUUUAUAAGUCAGGGGUGAAAGCCCAGAGCUUAACUCUGGAAUUGCCUUUGAUACUGUAGAGCUAGAGUCUUGGAGAGGAAAGCAGAAUUCCGAGUGUAGAGGUGAAAUUCGUAGAUAUUCGGAGGAACACCGGUGGCGAAGGCGGCUUUCUGGACAAGCACUGACACUGAGACGCGAAAGCGUGGGGAGCAAACAGG
rnacentral:rRNA from 1 species